CUGCUGCCUUCCGUAGGAGUUUGGACCGUGUCUCAGUUCCAAUGUGGGGGACCUUCCUCUCAGAACCCCUACUGAUCGUCGCCCCGGUGGGCUGUUACCCCGCCGGCAAGCUAAUCAGACGCAUCCCCAUCCUUUACCGGCCGAAGCCUUUGGUCAUGAAAAUAUGCAUCAACAUGACAACAUACGGUAUUAAUCCGCCUUUCGACGGGCUGUCCCAUAGUAAAGGGCAGGUUGGAUACGCGUUACUCACCCGUACGCCGGUCGCCAU
rnacentral:rRNA from 1 species